CUGGACUCAACGCUUCCGGUCAUCACACUGGGUGUAACAACACUUCUGAGGCAACUGCAGGCCUUGAAGAUUUUCCACUUCUCAUCUAUUGUAUCGACAAUUAAUUGCAAGAACCUGACUGGCCCAAUGAUGGUACAAGGGAACCGAAGAAAAAAAGCCCACCUGCCAAGUCAAUCAUUACUCAACCAUUUGUAUCAAGCAAACCAUCAAGUUUCAACCAAAUUUCAUUUCAGCUGCCUCAACAAUCAAUAGGACAUGAAGCAGAGUCAGUGCCUCCCCACAUCUACCACAGAUCGGAGGUUCACUACCAGACAAGAGGGUCAGCCAUGGAUGAGUUGGCAAGAUCUUUACAGAUGGAUGUGGCCAACUAGUCAGCCAGUACAUUGCCUCGGUGUCUCUGUGCCCUAGCAACCAGCUUACGACGACCUGCUGCUUGGAGAUGCAAGUGGUGCAAAAAAUGAAAUAAAGCGAUGCAAUUGCAGGAUUUUUGUGCUUUUUCAAGUGAUUUCAAGACUUUUACAAUGCUUAGAGAGUCUGUGUAUAUAACUGUCCUGGAUAUAUUUAGUUCUUUAACGUGUUUAACAGCUGCCAAUAUCGCAUAAGCUUUGGCUGUAAAGAUGCUUGUGUCAGGG
rnacentral:lncRNA from 1 species